AUACCUUUCUCGGCCUUUUGGCUAAGAUCAAGUGUAGUAAUAAGACUAUUGUUUUUGUUUAUAUGGUUGAAUCUUC
rnacentral:snRNA from 1 species